UACGUAGGGUGCAAGCGUUAAUCGGAAUUACUGGGCGUAAAGCGUGCGCAGGCGGUUCGGAAAGAGAGGUGUGAAAUCCCAGGGCUUAACCUUGGAACUGCACUUUUAACUGCCGGGCUAGAGUAUGUCAGAGGGGGGUAGAAUUCCACGUGUAGCAGUGAAAUGCGUAGAGAUGUGGAGGAAUACCGAUGGCGAAGGCAGCCCCCUGGGAUAAUACUGACGCUCAUGCACGAAAGCGUGGGGAGCAAACAGG
rnacentral:rRNA from 1 species